GAUGAUGCCACUCCAUCAAUUCAUAGUGGCACUUCACAAAUUGUGAAAUAAAUGUAUUUGAAUAUUAGCUAAAGUGAAGUGCUGUUAUGAAUUGAUGGAGUGCCAUUAUCA
rnacentral:pre_miRNA from 1 species